rnacentral:rRNA from 1 species
GACGGACGCUGGCGGCGUGCCUAACACAUGCAAGUCGAACGGAGAUAUGAUUUCGGUUGUAUCUUAGUGGCGAACGGGUGAGUAACGCGUGAGCAACCUGACUCUUAGAGGGGGAUAACACUCGGAAACGGGUGCUAAUACCGCAUAAGACCACGACAUGGCAUCAUGACGAGGUCAAAGGAGCAAUCCGCUGAGAGAGGGGCUCGCGUCCCAUUAGAUAGAUGGCGGGGUAACGGCCCACCAUGUCAACGAUGGGUAGCCGAGCUGAGAGGCUGAUCGGCCACACUGGAACUGAGACACGGUCCAGACUCCUACGGGAGGCAGCAGUGGGGAAUAUUGGGCAAUGGGCGCAAGCCUGACCCAGCAACGCCGCGUGAGGGGAAGAAGGCCUUCGGGUUGUAACCUCUGUCAUGGGGAAGGAAGUAAGUGACGGUACCCCAACGAGGAAGCCCCUCGCUAACUACGUGCCAGCAGCCGCGGUAAGAGUAGUACA